rnacentral:tRNA from 1 species
AGUAGAAUGGCCGAGUUUUAGGCGGUAAAUUGUAAAUUUACAUACGAAAUUAAUUUCUUCUACUA